rnacentral:rRNA from 1 species
UACAGAGGGGGCAAGCGUUGUCCGGAUUUACUGGGCGUAAAGAGCGCGCAGGCGGUCGUUCAAGUCGCGUGUGAAAGCCCCCGGCUCAACUGGGGAGGGUCACGCGAUACUGAUCGACUCGAAGGCAGGAGAGGGUAGUGGAAUUCCCGGUGUAGUGGUGAAAUGCGUAGAUAUCGGGAGGAACACCAGUGGCGAAGGCGACUACCUGGCCUGUUCUUGACGCUGAGGCGCGAAAGCUAGGGGAGCGAACGGG